UAGGUGCCUUCCUAGAAGAGACUCGAGGAGGCUUUGGAGAGGACCAGGCUUAUCCCAGGCUCCUGAAGAAGAGGCACUGGGAGUCUGACAUCAGCUCUAAGAUCCCUCCCUGGCUGCUCAACAGAGAGAAGAAAUGGACCUUCCUGUAAAAGCUUUUCAGGUUCCUGUGGAGGAGUAAAAUAGCCUAAAGAUACCCUUGGAGAAUGUCUUCAACAAGUCAGUGGGACUGCUCACACAGAACCAAAGAUUGGGGCCAAAAUAGGAAAAGAAAAGGAAUUGAGGGCAGAAGCCACAGCAGAAAGAACUAAGAUGCCAAGUGAACAUACCAAAAUCAACUUUGAGAGCUUUGAUGAAUAUCCAAGAGCACAGCGAACUCCCAGAUCUAGUCACUUCUUGUGCAUUUGGACUUCUGCAUGCAAAGGGACAUAAAGGGACAGCCUGGUUGGGUAUGCCUGGUGGGAAACAAAAGCACUGAGUGGGCAUGAAUGUACAUGGGCUUAUGCAUCACUCGUUUUGCAUAUAUACAUUUGCUCUCUACUUAGAUAGCAAAACUGGUUCACAAACUCAUAUCCCUCUGCUUAAAUAACAAAGUGCCUUUUUCAGACAGCAAACUGUCUGAGUCCACAGCAGAGUGAUGGGGGAUCAGGUAUAAGAAUUUCUUCUCUAUGUGGUGUGCACCAGCAGUUGGUUCUCACUAGUCUGUCGUGGACUGACUUCCUUCAGCGCACACCAUUUGUUGAAUACUCGUAACAAAUACCCUCCAAGAUAGCAGUGGUAUGUCUCUCUGGAAGUCACUGAUGACAGUUGGCCUGUCCUAGAUCAGGAGCAGAGAGUUUGCCUCUGAGGGAACAGGAACACUUCCAGAGAUACCUGUGAUACCAUCUUCUGCUCUGUUCACAACUGGAUCGAACCAAUUCUUGUUCUGAUCCAGAAAAUCAGAAUGAGGUGAGAAAUCUUGUUCCUAGAGAAUGAUUUCUACACAAGGGAAUAAAGUAUGUUUCCUACUCACUGCCAGCAUGGAUAUUUUUCUUUGCCCUUCUUCAGUGUUAAGUUGACCAACUUAAAUCAAAACUUUAUACUUCAAAUAGUGAAGAAUCUGGGUACUAAUUGGUUCCUGUGGUUUGAAGUUUUGAGUAGCUGAAGUUUGAAAUAUCAAGUAGUCACUUAUGGAUUUUGGAAGAAUGAGCACAUCUUGUUCAGCAAAGAACCUCAUCAUUUUUACAUAAUGACAUGAUGUGCUGGAUUCACCUGUAAAAACAAAUUUCUAGGCUUAAUGGUAUCCUGCACCAGAACAACCUAUAUAGAAGGUACAUGAGGCAAAACAACAAGUUUAAGAAUCUUGUGCAAGCAACAUGUAGGCUUUUGAGUAUGUUUGGUAGACAUGUAAAUGUGUAUGCACACACACAUGCAAAUAUUCUCUGCUUAUACUCUUAUUUGUGAACCACUUUUCACUCUCCUUAUAUUAUUGUAUACCUUUAGGUAUGUCAGUAAUACAACAUUUAUGUUGUCUAAAUGUUGGGAGGGAAGACAGGGGUGGCUCAACCUGAGCACUGAAAGAGAGAUCCAAGACCUGUAGCACAUUUGAAAUCUGCUCUUCCAGAGGCUGUAGGGAAAUUUGAGAGAAACUCUGCUAGAGAGAGAGAGAGAGAGCAAAGCACUAGACUUUUUUUUUCCCUUCUAAAUAAAGCAUAGAACAAGCUUUUAACUGCCUUUUCUCCAUAAUAGGUACUUAACCCUGUUCACUAACAUUGAGAGGAAAAAAAGAAAAUUCCAAGAAAAAUUCCUAUUCAAAGUAAAAAAUAUAAAUUAAAACAACGUGGGCAACACACACCCUUUUCUUUCUUUCCCGUUUUGUUUGGUGUUUUCUAGCUCUGCUUUUUGGACAGCUGAAUGGGGGCUGGGAAAGUGUUUACAAUAUUUUCACAUGAUUGAGAUGGCAGAGUUCUUGCGCUCUGUGAAAGGCCUUCUGUUUUCAGAUGGCAUUGAAAGUUUACCGUCUUUCCAGACAAAAGGAAGAGAGCCCGUUGCCAGCAGAUGAGUAAUGGGCAUGGCCUCCGCACAAUACCUCUUAUCCAGUCCUAAAUCUACAUGGUGUUCUUAGGCUUCCCGGCUUCUCCAAAGCAACCUUUGUCUCUGCUCUGGGAGACCAAAACUGCUCGUUGGGUGAGUGGGGAUGCAGCCAAGAGGGGAAAGUUCGGUGACAACAGUUGCUCAGUGCUCACUGCCCAGUAUCUGCCUUCUUACUAUGCUGCUAGAAUAGUUGGAAACCCAUCAACAACUGGGCAUCUUCUAUACAAAUAUGUUGCAGACCAUCUGUAUAGUUUUCAGUUCCAGAAGAUUCCAGUAACUCACUAAGUUUUAAUACCUUUUUUUUUUUAAAUUUUAUUUUUCCUUGUUAAUCUGAUGGGCUGCCCUGAGAUAAGUGAUUAGCAAGAGCCUGCCAUAAUUACUUCGGAGCUAAAACUGCACAGAAGUUGCCAGUUCUUGUAUUUUUCUUAGAAGCAACUUGAAGCAGGCAUUUUCCACUGUAAAUAAUUUUUAGGUUCUAUUAAGUAAUUUCUCAUUUUUUUGUAAGGAACAAAUCUUUUGGUGAAAAUUAUUGCUGACAUAUUAUUUCAAAAUAUUAAAUAGACAAUUCUAAAGUUUUUUUUUCCAGUGAAUUUGUGCUCUUGUUGGCAUUGCAGAGACCAGUAGGAGUCAACUGUUUAAAACAGCAUUAAAAUAAUCUGGCUUCAUUUCCUCUGCUGAAAGAGCAAGUCAGCUGAAACUCGGACUUUUUGCUGAAAGGGAGGGGAGGCGAAAGAAAAAAGAGGCAAAAUGAACUGAGGCUUUUCCCCGUUUGAGAAACAAAUCUCUUCACACAGAGCACUUGAGGCUCCGGAGGCUUCCAUGAGAACCUGACAUAACAGGAUCCGGGCUACUCUGUCAAUUCUUAUUCUCACAUUGUACCUCUGCUAAGAGUCUCAGCUGCUGCCUCCUCCCAAGCUGUGCAGUCCAGACAUCCACGUGCCAGGAGCACAGUGCAAUGAAGGUUCCUCAAUGCUCCUGAGGGAGAAGUCCCUUCCAGCCUGCCAACAGUGAAUAUUAUGCACCUCAGCCCACAAAGAAUUUAGCUAAAAACUUUCUUUCUUCUGAGGAACAAAACAACAAGGUCUGCUUCAGUCCAUUCUCCAAGUAACAGUGGUUUUCUUUAAAAUAUAAUGAACCAUGUUGCAUUUAUGAGAGCUGCCUGGUCAAAUCAUAUCACUCCUGUCACCCUACUGAAUGCCAUGUUGCACUACCGAAGUUUGGACUGAGAACUGAUUGCUGGCUUCAGCAAGACUGGAAAGGAAAGGAAGACCUGGACAUACUGACUAUAUCUAAACUAUUAAAUAAAAUUAGUUGGAGACUUUUCCUGGAGGCCAGCUGGCAAGAAAGAGCUUGCAUGCACACAGCUAAACUCUCUUACUCUCUGAAUCACUGUGGCCACAUCCAAAAUACCUAUUGGACAUGGGCCCUGACCCAGGUUAGUACCCAAACUGUGCUUCAGCAUUGUCUGGAAGAGUACAAGCAGGCUUGGUCCAGGACUACACCAAGGACCAAUUUAGUAGUAGGGAUAGUUUCAGGCCCGUUCCUUGUUGGUUCUCUUUAGUUUAUUUAGUGUCAGAGUGAAACCUCAGUAACACUGCCAAGAGUCAACACAAAACCCCUAUUGGCCUCAGGGACCAUAAGCCACUGAGAAGUAGAGCAGUAUCAUUAGUUUGUUCACUUCCUUCACAUUUCAAUUCUUUUUUCUCUUGUUCUGUUUUGUUUGUUUGUUUGUUUUUUCCCAAGUGGGUACUGAAAUGAAUGUUUUUAAAAAUCUUGUAGAGUUAAAACUCAGUUGUUGCCUACUCAAGAACUUCUGGUUAAUUUUGAACUACCAAGAGGUUUAUCACACAAGCUGAGGUUCUGGAAAAGCCAGCUUCAGGUCUUUUCCAUGAUGAAGGAUCUCCUACAGCUUCAAGCAAGUAAGAUCUUCUAUGACUCAGCACCACUUUUGGAUAAAGGGGUAAAAAGCUGAAAGGUGUUGAGAUACAAACACACCAGGUACUCAGUCACACACUAAACUGAUGUGAACGUAGAAGUCCCUUUGCUUUCUGUGGUAAUUUUUUUCACAUGUCUGGGAAUGGAAUUUAUUUUAAACCCUUCAAAAUGGACACAAAGGAAUUCAACCCUGUAUCAAGGUGUUUUCACAGAGCACUUGGAUAAGCCUGAGGUGUCCUGUAGUGUAAGAGUUUUUGUGGGGGCUGGUGCUCUGUGUUUCUAGGGCUAGCUCUGUGAGCCUGGUACUCCAGUUAGCCCAUGUAACAUUGUCCUUCGCAGUACUAUGUUAUAUUUCUGCCUGCAGCAAUAUAAAUAAGAAUCAGGCAAUUCAUGCUAUAAUAUUUUCCUCUAUUCAAAAGAUAAAUAGCGUUGGAGGCCAGUGAACGUUUAAAAAGCUCAUCAUACAAAAAUAUUAUAUUAGGCCAUGCUGUAUUACUGAGAUUACAUUAAAAGACUUGCACGUAUUGAAUUAAACCAUGAUUUUCCAAUGAUCUCAGCAGCAGCAGAAUAGAGACAUUUUAAUCAUUGCAUUAUCAGUUUUGUAGGUAACUACUAUACUGAAUUGCUGCUCAAAAUGAAAAACUGUAUUGUUUUAUCCAGAAGGUUUCUAGUUUCUAGCACUAGCCUUUACUUUUCUUAGAGCUCAGACAUAUGAUUGAAUUACUGAAGCUGACAAGUACUGAUUUCAACGACAUUUAAGCUAAUGCUUUUUUUCCUCAGGUUUAUUACAGGCUAAGAGUGUACUGUUAAUUAAUGUGGUCAUUUGAUGUGCAGCACCUUGCUGGACUAUGAGAACUUGAUUGUGUGCUUUCACCCAAUGUUCCUUUUAGGUUAGAAAAGACUCUUUGUUUCUUAAUUGACCUAUUCAUGGAUCAGUCUCAUAGAACAGGCUAUGGAGCCUGACAUGAACAUAGUCAUACCUGGCCUGGGCUGUGUGAAUCUUAUUUAAUGAAUAUGUUACAAAGAGCAGAAUAGACUUGCUGCCCAGAAUGAUUUACAUAGAAAUUGAUCACAGUUUUCUGAGCUUGACUUUGAAAAGCAGGAAGUAUUACAAAGCAGAGGAGGAACAUUUGACCUAAUCUACCUUUGGUUCCCUUUCCCUUCCCUUUCCAUGGUGCCCCUCAAGCCUGAAGCACUCUCCCAUAGAUGAUCACAUGUGGCAGUGACUCUACUCAGACCAAUUGAAACCAUUGCAUCAGUUAAGGUUUGCAAGGCCGUAUUGUGUUUAUUUUUGCAGUCUGAUGUUGAGAGAAGCUGAGGAGGGCUUGCAUCUCCCUCCCACCGAUAACAGGCUGUUGGAAGUGCUCAGUUCAUUCCAGGGCAAAGCCUUGAAGACUGCGGGUUAGAGAGCCGCUAACGCUUUUCUGGAAGUACAUGCAGAUUCUUUUGGUUUUCACUCGGGAAAAGCCUGGCUCUCCAUUAAAAAAAACAACCAAAAACAACCAAAACCCAACAAACCACGACAAAAGAACUCAAAACCAUCAAUACACAAAACCCCAUUGCAGUAGUUGUAGUGGCCCAAACAAAACAUAAAAAGCCCAAUCUCAGCCUAAACACUCAGUUUGAGGAUCCUCUGGAAUUAGACAGAGGCUUGAAGUUUGACCCAGGGGGAAGCCUCUCAUGGUCUUUUCAUUGGCAGAAGGGUACAGGCUCUGCCCAUGUGUGAGUGGCCUGCGAUGUGUGAGGGUGUAGCCCAGUGGCCUGGUAGUAUUCUCUGCUUGCUGGCAGAGAGUAUCAGCAUGGGCCGGAUGCUUAUUCACAACGGAUAGGCUGUGAGCUGUGCUAUGCAACAUCAUCCCAGGCUUAAUUUCAAGCUCUUUUUGACCCUCUUUAGCUUUUUUUAAAGCUGGAACCUUUCAGCUUAUAUUAUCUUUCUAACAAUUCUCUUUUUUUUUUUUUUUUUUGUUUUUCUCCUACUUUCACAAUUGAACAUGCUUUGCCAAACUCCCCACUCCAACUUCUAUCCACCCCAUAUGUUUAUAUUUUCCUAUUGCUGAGGCAUGUUGUGCUGACCUGCCUGGACAGAGCUCCUUUAUCACAGAGAUAAACAUGAUGUCCCCCUCACAUAGAGUUUCUAUCAUGUGUGACCUUUCAUCUUGAACUGCCAUGACCUUUUUUUUUUUUUAUUAAUGCUGUACUGUGCUGCUUGUAGAAGCCAAGAAAGAAAAUCUUUUGUUUCUAGACAGAAUACUGCUAAAGGACAUGAUACGGUCUUGUUUUUAAUCCAGCUAAUUAAAAUCUGCAUGUGCAGUGUAACUGAGAAUGCAGCCUUCGCCCACCACUUUCCCACAGGCAGGGAAUAAAGGCCUUUAGUGCAGCAGCAGCUAGCCACCCUUGGAUAACAGAGAACAGAGCCCACAAUUCAUCCCAGCUUUCCUUAUCAUAUCUGUGGAGGGCUUUCCCUUCACUCCCUCCCUCCUUCCCUCCCCGCCUCCUUCCCUCCCUCUCUUUCCAUGGAAUCUCUUACUGUAGCUAUGCACCUCUAUACAUCACAAUGUAAUCAAGUUGAAAAUAUGUUAGCUUUCAUUUAUCUAUGCCCUGUGUGCUCUGAAUAUAAUUCAUUUCAAGUAAAAAAAACCAAAACCAACAACAAAACAAAAAAACAAAAAAGACAAAAAAACAAGGAAGAGAAAUGAAAAAGAGAAAGGAAAAUAAAAAGAAAGCAAAAAAGCCUAUUUCUAGUCAAAUGUUAAACCAAUUGGUGUUAAGAGUGUUCUGCCAAGAACUAACUGAAUAAUGCAGUUUUGCAGUUCACACUUUCAUGCGUUCAUUACAGAGGCUUUUUUGGAUUUGCUGGAUGGUUGUGGUUAUUACUAAGACUGCCUUUUGUGUGUGUUGGGGAGAGGGUGCCAUGGAAUUUUUUUUUUGUGAAACGUUUCCUUGGUUAGUUUUUCACUUGUUGCUUUUUGUUUUCUAUCUGAAGUGGGGGAGGAAUGAGGAGAAGGAGGGCAGUGGGUAGGAAGAAGCAGUGAAUGCAGAAUAGGAAGCACUAAAAUUGAGCCUCCACCUGUUUUCUCUUUCUUCAAGUCAUGUUUUAUAUGAUGAUGAUGAUGAGGUCAACAGGGAGCAUAAAAAUGUGCCAGAAGAUCCAAAACUUGGAAGGAGAUUGUUCAACAUGAGUAGAAAAUACAUUUUAGUGCCCAUAAAGAAGCCCUCCCCCCAGUUCCCCCAGUAAAGCACACAAGCAGGCUUUCUGUGGGCAUUCCCUGGUAACCCACACAAAGAGCUGUUCAAACAGCUGUGCCUUCAGCUCAACAACAUCCAUGGGCUGCUGUGGAAAAUGCCCAUUUUUGUGCGUUUACUUCCUGAACUCAAAUUCAGCGGAAUAUACUUACAGUUAUUAAAGGGAGGGAUUUUGAGUCCUUAAUAAAUAUGCAGCAUCUUGGGAAAUGACUUACUUUGGUUGUCUGUAAUGAAUUAUUUAUAUAGUUGUUGUACCCAGGGAAUGAUUAAAGAGGGAUGAAAAAGCAGUGUUUGGAAAUCUAAUAAAGUUUAUUAGGCAACACCAGUCUAUCUAAAGCACCUAACAUCACAUUUUUUUAAUACCUAAGUAUUUUAAAAACAGAAAAGAGAACAAUUAAAAGACACCAGCACUACUGUGAUGCCUGUAUUAAGAGAUGUUAUGUUGAUCAAGUACAAUAGUGCUUUUCAUCACAACUUGGUUAUCUUAUGCUGACCUCUAUAAGCAUGAAUAAAGAGAUCUCUAUAUUUUUCAGCUUUCAGUGCCUAUUAAAAGAUAAUAUAAAAAGAGAAAUAACUAUCAGUAUAUGUAUAUAACCCUGAUAUAUUAUAUUUAUAUAAUACAACACAAAAUUACAGCAAACAUAAAUUUUUAUGUACUCUGAAAUUGGUUUCUAAUCAGUAGAACAGUGAGAGUCAAGAAGACAUUUAUCUAUAUUUUAUAAAUUUAAGAUUUUUUUUUCCUAGUUUGAGGAAUAUAUUUCGUAGUUGCUCUUUGAUAGUAAUGUCUGCUUUGACACAGUAAAAAGGUUGUUAAUAUCAAUUCACAUAUUUUUUUAUAAAAUGAAUGUUUGCAUAUUGCACAAGCAAGAUAAGAUUUAUGAAGUUUUCUGUAUUCUUUUUAAGUGUUCUAAUCCUA